GUGCGCAGUUCCCGUGCCCUAGGAGUUGGCGGCGGGGCCCAGCCGAGGUAUAAGUUCCACAGCUUCACCCUUGUCGGUGUGAUAUGGGCGUGAAAGAAGACAUAAAACAGGCUUCCCGAGUAGAACCUGCCACCCCGGGCUGGUGGGGACGCGGCACCAGGCCGGGCCGGGGGAAGCCGCUCGGACAGUGGUCCUUGGGACUGUGAGCUUCAUGGAGACAAGAAACUGUGCUUUUUUUCUCCUUCCUGUGAAUGAAUCCCAUUGCAGCUUUGAUUGUGGUUGAAUCACCUAUGGAAGCCAUGCAUCUUCAGCAUGUAGCACAUAAUGGACACUCAGCAAAUGACAACUGAAUGAGCAAACUAAUUACUCUGACCUUGAGCAGUGACUUGUGUGACCUCUGGCAAUUGGUUCACCAUCUGAAUCCCUCAGCUAGAUACCUCCCUCUAAUGCUGCUCCUCCAUCGACAGGCAUUCCUCAGCGGUCAGUUGUUUCCCAGCCAGAGCCCGCACUGGCACUGAUGUCUGCUAUUAUCACUGGAGAGGCCCCGGGACUUCACUUGAUGCUAUCCCACUGGGAUGACUGAGAAGAAGUAGGAGAAAAUCAAGCAAAAGCGUGGGCUCGUCUAAGUGUUUCCUCAUCUGUUUCUUGGUAUCUUCCUUGCUUCCCUGCUUCUCCCAGCCCCAGACUUCCUUGUCUUCUCUCUUCCAUCCAGAAAGACACACAUGCCCCUUCUAAGUAUCACUUUAGGGCUGAAGUCCAAAGUCUUCUCUUAGCUGAAAUUCACUGUGCACUUGCCACUUGGCAGAGACUGCAAACAGCUCAGUGCGUGUUUUCAUAGUCAGCAUUAAAAUAAUAAUUGCCACAACAC
rnacentral:lncRNA from 1 species